rnacentral:sRNA from 12 species
UUUGAGCCGAGGGGCUUUGCGGAAACACUAGAUCGGCGUCGAUCGGAAACCGUAGCAAGAAGCCCGCACCACGUGAAGGACUGACUGAAGCGUGAUGAAAUACUGAGCUCGGAUGCAACGAGCAGUCAGGCAGUAGUAAA